rnacentral:rRNA from 1 species
GAUGAACGCUCGCGAUAGGCUUAACACAUGCGAGUCGAGGGGCAGCAUGGUCUUAGCUUGCUAAGGCUGAUGGCGACCGGCGCACGGGUGCGUAACGCGUAUGCAACUUGCCUCACAGAGGGGGAUAACCCGUCGAAAGACGGACUAAUACCGCGUACACUCUAUGUUGGGCAUCCAAUGUAGAGGAAAUGAAAUUCGCUGUGAGAUAGGCAUGCGUCCCAUUAGCUAGUUGGUGAGGUAACGGCUCACCAAGGCGACGAUGGGUAGGGGAACUGAGAGGUUGAACCCCCACACUGGUACUGAGACACGGACCAGACUCCUACGGGAGGCAGCAGUGAGGAAUAUUGGUCAAUGGGCGAGAGCCUGAACCAGCCAAGUCGCGUGAAGGAUGACUGUCUUAUGGAUUGUAAACUUCUUUUAUACGGGAAUAACAAGAGUCACGUGUGGCUCCCUGCAUGUACCGUAUGAAUAAGCAUCGGCUAACUCCGUG